CUCUUUAUUUCUAUCCAUCCUCUUGAUACAGAUCUCUUGAUCUAUCCUUUGGCUGCAUUUUAAUGGUAUGAUGAAUCAGACCUCAAUGGCAGCAAUCCAAAGGUUGUAUGAGGCAAUUGUGAAAGUGGCAAUCAACACCCAUGCCCCCACACUACAACCCUCCAACCCUCCUCCUGUUGCUGCCCAAGAACUGUCUGAUACAGUUGCCCCCCAGGAGACCAGCUACACCCUCA